rnacentral:rRNA from 1 species
UACGUAGGGGGCAAGCGUUGUCCGGAUUUAUUGGGCGUAAAGAGCUCGUAGGUGGUUCGGUAAGUCGGAUGUGAAAUCUCCAGGCUCAACCUGGAGGGGUCAUUCGAUACUGCCGUGACUAGAGGUCGGUAGGGGAGUGUGGAAUUCCUGGUGGAGCGGUGAAAUGCGCAGAUAUCAGGAGGAACACCCGUAGCGAAGGCGGCACUCUGGGCCGAUACUGACACUGAGGGACGAAAGCUAGGGGAGCGAAUGGG